rnacentral:rRNA from 1 species
AUUGAACGCUGGCGGCAGGCCUAACACAUGCAAGUCGGGCGGUAACACGGGGAGCUUGCUCCUGGGUGACGAGCGGCGGACGGGUGAGUAAUGUCUGGGAAACUGCCUGAUGGAGGGGGAUAACUACUGGAAACGGUAGCUAAUACCGCAUAAUGUCGCAAGACCAAAGAGGGGGACCUUCGGGCCUCUUGCCAUCAGAUGUGCCCAGAUGGGAUUAGCUAGUAGGUGGGGUAACGGCUCACCUAGGCGACGAUCCCUAGCUGGUCUGAGAGGACGACCAGCCACACUGGGACUGAGACACGGCCCAGACUCCUACGGGAGGCAGCAGUGGGGAAUUUUGGACAAUGGGGGCAACCCUGAUCCAGCCAUGCCGCGUGUGUGAAGAAGGCCUUCGGGUUGUAAAGCACUUUCGGCCGGAACGAAAUCGCGCGGGUGAAUAUCCCGCGUGGAUGACGGUACCGGAAGAAGAAGCACC